UACGUAGGGGGCAAGCGUUGUCCGGAAUCAUUGGGCGUAAAGCGCGUGUAGGCGGCUCGGUAAGUCUGCUGUGAAAGUCCAGGGCUCAACCCUGGGAUGCCGGUGGAUACUGUCGAGCUCGAGUCCGGAAGAGGCGAGUGGAAUUCCUGGUGUAGCGGUGAAAUGCGCAGAUAUCAGGAGGAACACCAAGUGGCGAAGGCAGCUCGCUGGGACGUGACUGACGCUGAGACGCGAAAGCGUGGGGAGCAAACAGG
rnacentral:rRNA from 1 species